GAUGAACGCUGGCGGCGUGCCUAAUACAUGCAAGUCGAGCGAACAGACGAGGAGCUUGCUCCUCUGACGUUAGCGGCGGACGGGUGAGUAACACGUGGAUAACCUACCUAUAAGACUGGGAUACUUCGGGAAACCGGAGCUAAUACCGGAUAAUAUAUUGAACCGCAUGGUUCAAUAGUGAAAGACGGUUUUGCUGUCACUUAUAGAUGGAUCCGCGCCGCAUUAGCUAGUUGGUAAGGUAACGGCUUACCAAGGCAACGAUGCGUAGCCGACCUGAGAGGGUGAUCGGCCACACUGGAGCUGAGACACGGUCCAGACUCCUACGGGAGGCAGCAGUAGGGAAUCUUCCGCAAUGGGCGAAAGCCUGACGGAGCAACGCCGCGUGAGUGAUGAAGGUCUUCGGAUCGUAAAACUCUGUUAUUAGGGAAGAACAAAUGUGUAAGUAACUAUGCACGUCUUGACGGUACCUAAUCAGAAAGCCACGGCUAACUACGUG
rnacentral:rRNA from 1 species